GACCAAACCGUCUUGGACUUACAUCACGUUAAAACACCAGUUCCCGUAUGAUCGGCAAAGUUAAGCAACGUCGAGCCUGGUUAGUACCUAGACGGUUGACCGCUUUAGAAUACUAAGUACUGUA